GCGAAAGAUGUACUGUGGUAGGACUUGACUUAAGCGGUCAAAGAAGUGCAGGAGACUGAUGCUGUCCAGUGUAGCAAGUGAUUUAUUCACCAUUGUGUGACCCAAACAAUAUUUACAAAGAAACAAAUAAGAAACUCAACUCCAAAUUAACUCCGUUCAAAUAAACAUAACUGAACUUAAAUCAACGGAAAUUAAGGUCAAACUGCACACAGCUACACUGACCUGAACCUUUCUUCUCAUACACCUGAGUUCUUCUGUUUAAAUAGUCCACUUAACCAAACAAUUUCUCCUCUGGACUAUUCCAUUCCGUAGGUAGGUAAGAUGAACAUAAUUAUAUUCAAACCUCUACUACUCUUUACUGGCAACAUAAACUCUAUGGUGUAAUCAAUACAUACUACAACAAUAAAUCUAUUUAUCCAUAAACACUCUAAAAUCAACUUUAUUAAAUUACAAGAGUUCUUCCCCUCCUGCACUUGGUCUCCUCCUGUGACCUCAGAUGAACCCAGAAGGUAUAAAGCAGGAAGUAAAACUACAUUUCCUCCUUUUGUUGCUAGAAGACAGGUAGGGUAAGUUGUUGGUGCCUGCUGGAGGAUCCUGGGCCUAGAAGCUACUGGAGGAUCCCGGGCCUGGAGGCUGCUGGAGGAUCCCGGGCCUGGGGGCUGCUGGAGGAUCCCGGGCCUGGGGGCUGCUGGAGGAUCCCGUGCCUGGGGGCUGCUGGAGGAUCCCGUGCCUGGGGGCUGCUGGAGGAUCCCGUGCCUGGGGGCUGCUGGAGGAUCCCGUGCCUGGGGGCUGCUGGAGGAUCGCGUGCCUAGAGGCUGCUGGAUGGUUCUGCUUGUGUAGCUUGAAGUCAGUAGGCAGCAAAUGUUAGAUCAGAAAAUCUUGAACUAAAGGGUGAUGCUCCUCUGUGGCCCGAGUCAUCUUUUCAGUAAUAGAUUUUAUAAGCAAGUUGGGCUCUCACUGAAUGAAUGCUAACAGUGUUUCUUCUUCUCAUGUCUGACUCUGUGCACACACUCUUAAACAGAAGUGCUUCAAGGUCUGAAUGUACUGUUCAGCACACCUCUAAAGAACAUUUCAUGAUCCACAAAACUUUGGCAGAUUUAUUCAUUGUCUUCACAGUGUGAGAGUGCAUGGCUAUGAAUUGUGGGAUGGAAUUAUCUUCUUUCCUUUCAUAAAGAAAGGUUUCAUGUGUCCUCUGUUAAAGAAGGUAAUAAAGAAAGCAUUAAAAUACUUUUCCUAAACAUUUAGGUAAUUUGACCAGCUCUUUUUAUGGACUGCCAUACAGACACUUCUGGGUCACUUAUCUUAGAAAUAGAAACUUUUAUGAUACCCUGGUCCUUUUUUGUCAACCUGACAUUUUAUCCUGCCCCUCCCUUAAC